CAUAACAAAAUGUGGAAAAAGUGAAGCGCUGUGAAUACUUUCCAGAUGCACUGUAUUUGGGAAAAACAUGUUUCUUAAUAAACUUUACAAAUGGACUUGUGUGUCACAGUUGUGUUAUUUACACAUAAUCUACCAUUUCUAACAAUGUUCAAAUGUAUGCUUAAUCUGCGUGGUGGAAGAUAAACAGGCCUCCUGGUGCAGCUGAGGAUGUUAAAACUCUGAAACUCAAGCAACAAACAGAUGUAUCUAUUAUGCUGGCAAGAUGUUAGUAAAUAUAGAUCUGGAUACUGCAAGUUUUGAGUGUGUGUUGUGUGUUAAGCGUUUCUUACAUUAGGGCAGGGACCAGCCCAGUGACAGUAAAUUUUAACCAGUACCAGGACGAGGUGCCGCGGAUAAAAGGAAUACACGCACUCAAAAGCCGCCUCAGAUAACUGAACGCCUGCAUCUAGCAUCCAGGCAACAUUAUCUGUGACAGUAGCUGCGUCGCGUGCAUGUUUAAAGGCAGGUGAUACGCAGACUCUACAUGCACAGCGAUCAGUUUGCUAUGUGCUCUGGUGAAGGGGUGAACUUGAUCAGUGCACCCCUUCACCAGAGUACAUUGGGAACUGAUCAAACUCUGUGUAUCCAAGAACCCUUAAAUCAGACCAAAUUAUGUAAUAUCAGAGGGACUUUUCUUGUAGAUUAGUCAUGGAAAAUGAGAACCGUGUGAGCUUUUCUUUUGAAUCAAGCAGCAAAAAAGUUUUAGCAUGACGGGUUUGAGUUAAUUUGCCUUACUUGACAUUGCACGUCCUGCAAUGUGACUAUUGCAUAUGCGCACAUUACGGAUAUUCGAUGCUGAAACGAUAUAUUGUGCAGCCCUAGAGAAGGGAAUAUAACAUUUUACAAGUGGCAGCUGAAACAGAUUUAUUUGUGUCUAUCAUUGAUAACAUCUCAUCUGAAUUUGAGAAAGGAGAGGCUGUUGGGGGUGGUUGUGAGUCCCUUGUGGCUCAAGAUAUUUAUCUCAGCCCAGCUAUUCAUUAAUGGGUCUGUAGCCUGCUGGCACCAUGAGGAAAUAUAGGACAGAGGCAAUCAAUACAUUCAGGCUCCAAAUCCAGACUCUGUGUGUGUGUGUGUGAGUGAGUAAGUGAGUGUGACAGUUUUCUUGUUAUGUGGCAGCUAGCCCCAGGACCUAAUGUGGGUUUUUAGGAUUAUUUCUAGAACACAAAAAAAAAUCUAAAACCAGAAACACACUGAACGCCUGCUGAGGCUUUUUAAAAUCGACAAAUUGUAAAGGGCAGUUUCAUGUAAAUAACCAGCACGGGCAGUACUCCUGAUGUCACUCUAAAGCCUUCACUGCACUACAUAAUCUUGUUUAUAUAUUAUGUUAAUGUGAAUGUAGUAUUAUGUUAAUGUUAUUAUUAUUGUUGUUAGGACCACUGAACUCCAGAGAUGAAUUUGUGUGACUUAAACUGAACUUUUGUUAUGAAACCGAGCCAUUGAACUCAAUCUCCCACAAUCCUCCACACUUCACACCUGUGCUUUCAGCUACCAUUGGUCAGUGUGACCUGUGACCCAUGAUGUCACCAAGUCAAUAAAGGGAUCAGCUGGCCAUUGUUUGCUCUCUUUACUCCUGGACUUGUCCACUGCUUCCAGCGUGUCCUGUCUUACAGCAGCACCAUGACAGCUUGCUAGAGGCCUGCAACAGGUUUAGUUAGCGUGAGCAGCUACUGCCAGCUACUUUUAAAAAGCAACAAGAGCAAUGAAGUAACUUAGUGCAGAGUGGCUAACUCAGAGGAGAACAGACAGAGUAACGGGUUCCUCCAUCUGCACAAUCGGAACAUGGCACCGCAAAAGACUGCAAUCGGAACCACAAUUCUUCCUCGCCUAACAAGGAGCACACCAAAGCAACUUCUUUUACGGACUGCUAAGGGGAGCCCUGCGGACAGGUUCAUCCUGUGAUGGUCAUUCCUGUGCGCUCCACUGAGUUCCUGCAGAGGGGUAAACUGCAUACCGUGCCUGGCUACGGCAGCAUGUGACCGGCUUGUGAUCCCGAGGUUCGCUCGUGUCACCUGCCUCCAAGUUGCCCACUGGCUUUCCAGGAGGACUUCACCACAGCUCUCACCUGCCUUGCCUCUAACCGCUGUUCCUGCCUCAGCCUGCCUGCUCUCCUCAGCCUUGUGUCGGCCUGCUGUCUGCCUCCAGUUUACUGGCUUCCAGCAAUACCGCCACACUCCUGGUUCCUCAUUGUGUUUCCUAUAAAUAAAUGGAACCUACUACUACA